CACGCGAUACCCACUCUCUCCUUCCUCUGUAUCUCCAUCUGUCUCUCCUUCACUCACCAUGUCUCUCCGUCCCUCUCUUCGGCCGUAACGUCUUCGUCUCCAAUAGGUAAUUUCCUCUUCAGUUUUUAUUUUCAAUUUUCUUUAUUGACCAUGUUAUUUAGGGUUUUUAUUUUUUUAUUUUUCAAAUUUGGGGUUAGAAUUAGGCCAGUCGGGUUAGAUUUAGGGUUCGUAAAUUGGGGGUUACAUUUAAGUUCUUAAAUUAGAGUUUUUAGGGUUCUUAAUUGGGGUUAGAUUUAGGUCUUAAAUUAGGUGAAUGAUUUUGGGCAGUGAGGUUAGAUUAUGUUUUCUUAAAUUGGGGGUUAGAUAUAGGGUGCUUCAUUGGGGGUUAGAUUAGGAUUCUUAAAUUAGGGGUUUUAUAAUUUCAAGUAAAGGGUUAGAAUUAGGGCCUUGUCUCAGUCUUGAUUGAAAAAAGGGGAGUAAAUUGAUAUAUGUACCUCAAAAACAAAUGCAUUGACAUGGCAAGUCAUCCUGUAAUAUAUAAAAAUACAAAUCCAAGACAUGAACACCGAUAAUUUGAUAGAGAUCCUACCAUGUGUAUAUAAUUCUGAUCAAACUUUUUCAUCGAUCAAACUUUUUCUUUCACUUUUUAGUUUUUUUUUUUUUUUUUUUUUAAAUCAGUCUAUUGUGAUCCUCCCUCGCAUUCAAACAAUAUUGAUGUUAAUCUUUCUGUUUGGUACAAGUGCAUUGACGUGUUGUUUUGUUUAUACUCUUUCAGCCAAGGUUUUACUUCAAUAUGUUGCAUUAUAAAUAAAUAGAUGCAUUCGGGUAUUUUCCUAUUCUUUGUACUAUGUUUUGUUGGAGUUUAUCAGAUAACUUGUAGAGAUUGAUGUAAAAAAGUUUCUGAGGAUAUGAUUGCAUUAUUAUCAUGUGCUAGCUCUAUAAGCAUAGUGUUAAUAUGGACUAGCUAGAAUAGACUACAAAAUAACUAUGUGAAUUAAUAAAUAACUUUGUUAUUAUACCAAUUGGGUGGAGUGUUGAGACUCGUUUGAUAACCAUUUAAAAUUUUUGCUUUAUUUAAGAAAUAAAAAAAAAGUUGAAAAACAUGCAAGACGCUUGUCAAAAAUCUGUUUGAAAGUUUUUUGCUAGCUUGUUUAAGUUUUAAGUUUUAAGUUUGCAAAUACUCUUGGUGUUCAAAACAAAUUUAGGACAUAUAUAGGACAAAUUUAGGAAAUAUUAUCAUUAAGGAGAGGGAGGAAGGUUUGAAACUAUACAUCGUACUCCACUCUCUAAAAUCAGUAUCUUGGAUCUUCCAGCUUUAGAUCUUGUCGCUCAACUAGUUUGUUAGCCAGAAACCCAGCUGGAGAACCUCUGACCUGCCUUAGGACUACCAACAUAAUAUUCAUACAAAAAUGAUCCUCAUUUUAAAAAUUUCAAUGCAAAAAUGCUCUAAACUCUUAGGCAAAUGCUCUUACAUUCUAUAUAUGUCCUCAUUUUAAAAUUUUUGCUUUAUUUAAGAAAUAAAAAAAAAAGUUGAAAAACAUGCAAGACGCUUGUCUAAAAUCUGUUUGAAAGUUUUUUGCUAGCUUGUUUAAGUUUUAAGUUUCAAUUUUGCAAAUACUCUUGGUGUUCAAAACAAAUUUAUUUCCAAUUUUGUAGAUGUCACAACUCAUUAAAACCCGGAGGGCGAUGACUUCUACACCUAGUCCGACGACUACACCUACUACUGUCGCCACUGCUCUGGCAGGGAUGGACCAUAGGCCGGUCAAUCCGAUUGACCCAGUUGGUCCUCUAGUCCCACAUGUGCAGGGAUCAUCGACUUCUUCGGUGGCGCUACUUGCUAGCGCCCGACUUACUCACCGACGCCCCCGCACUCCAGACCAGAUGUCGCCAUCAGGAUCCACAACCGAUGGAUUGAGUACACGGUCAGGUAUACAAUCCUAAUUCACUCCCUCAUUCCCAUGUUAACUGAGUUUUGUUAUUUUAGGUUCAAUUUGUUAAGUUAUAUCAUGUAAGGAUUAAAAAGUUGUCAUCGUUCCGAACCUUUUAUUAAACUAUUAUGAUCAUUGUGUUGGAUAUGUAUAUUGUUUAAGUUAUUUCAAGGUUUUGGGAAAUGUUUUAAUUAUAGGGGAGGUUAUGCCAAAAUUU
rnacentral:lncRNA from 1 species